CCCGCCGUAGCUCAGCGGCAGAGCGCCCGGCUGUAGCCGGCCGAUACCGGGUGGUCCGGGGUUCGAUUCCCCGCGGCGGGACCA
rnacentral:tRNA from 2 species